ensembl:lncRNA ZNF594-DT ZNF594 divergent transcript
GCGUCCUCAGCUGGUCCUAGACAUGCGUGGCGUCGGGGCUGUGGCACGGUCGGGUCCGGGGACACUUGUUUAACAAGACAUCUGCCCAUGUCCCUGGCCCAUCUCAUUGGCUGCAGCACAUCACAGUGGACCUUCUGCCUCCUCCCAGAUGCCCAGGGACAGUGAUCUGGAAGGAAGGGGCUUGAGGCUGUUUUCCUAGAACUCGACUUGAAUGCACCAAGGAAAGGCCAUUUGUGGGGACAUAGCAAGAAGGCAGCUGUCUGCAAGCCAGGAGGAGAACCCUCACCAGAAACCUCACAGAAAUCGGCCAACACCCUCAUCUCGGGCUUCCAGCUUCAGAACAACGAGAAAACAAAUUUCUGUUGUGUCCUGGUUCCCAUUUGUAAUUGGCACCCUAAUGAAACCGUUUUCUGUAGCCCUGGAAAUGGCUGAAAAUGAGGGGAGGGAAAUAAAGUGCUAUAAUUCAGAGCAUGGAGCACACCUUCCUGGUUCACCUGAGCUGGAUUCGGAGAGGUAAAAUGGCCAUUACCUCGUCUAAGCUGCCACUUACAGACACAGUACAGGAUGAGGCCCAGACCCACAGAGACAACGAUGAUGGCCACAGCUAAGAUGAUCCAGAAAUUAUUCCUCCACCAGCUCAUUGCAGUGGAAUCCUGAGAAGAAUGGAGAGAGAAGAAUGAGAGGGCAAAAGCAGAUGGCUACACCGAGAACUCACGCCAGCCCAACACACUUUGAUCUCGAGGCCUCUGGAAGGGAAGGUGCCUAAUGAACUACUGAAAGCCAGAGAUGCAAUGACAAAGCAGUCGUACCAGGGCCCCAGGCUGCAAUCCCCUGGCCCAGUGCUGAUCGGUGGCUCCCAGGGACACGCCCUGAUGCCAGCGCUGGCAGAUGUCUGCUGUGAAGAGAGCAGGAAACUGUCCCUUGGAAAGCUGAGAUGCUUACCUGAACUGUGAAAGUAUCCAUAUGUGAGCAGCUAAGGAGACAGCAGUGGCUGGAGUGCUGCAGCUCAGGCACAGCUGGGAAGCUCAUGACCCACGGCUGUCCAGAAGCCAGAAUCUUCUCACUGCCCCGUGUCGCUCCCGCAAGGCCUACCAGAGGACCCUCAUGGUGUGGUAGGGGGUCCUGGCAGGGGCCAGGGGCCAGGGUGGAGACUUGGCAGUGGGGGUGGGUUUGGUGUCCCCACAGACGAGUUUGCCGUGAGCAUUCCUGGAUGUGGCAACCUCAGUCUCAAGAAGAGCGACAGGACGCCAGCUCCCAUGCAGAGACAGAUCCAGGUAAGAAACCAGCUCAUGUGUGACAAACUCACCAUCUCACCAUGAAGGUGACUCUUGAAAGCUCCUGUGCACCUUGGAACUGCUGAGACAUCUUCUGCUUGGAGGAGGCAAGGGACAGGCUUCCUGUUUCUAAAGGCGUGUGAGUGGCGACCUUGAGAAAUGUGGCCAGUGGAGCAUUUUGACUGAGUUGGGUCCCCUCGUGCAAUACUGUGAGACAGAACUCCCAGCGAGGCCCACGGCCUCUGACCAUGGGGGUUGGAGUGGGGAAACCAAUUAGCCAUUUUGUUGAAUUGGCUGGUUCUGACUCAAAUGAGCAGUCACAUUAGUAAAAAUAGGCAAACGGAUGUGCAUUGUAUUUGCCCAGAGCGAAUGAGUUGUUAUCCAUUUCAGUAAUAAUGAUAACCAGAUAUGUCUGAUAAAUAUCUGAUAAUGUCUGAUAUA